UACGUAGGGGGCAAGCGUUGUCCGGAUUUAUUGGGCGUAAAGAGCGUGUAGGCGGUUAGGUAGGUCCGUUGUGAAAACUCGAGGCUCAACCUCGAGACGCCGAUGGAAACCAUCUGACUAGAGUCCGGAAGAGGAUAGUGGAAUUCCUGGUGUAGCGGUGAAAUGCGCAGAUAUCAGGAAGAACACCCGUGGCGAAGGCGGCUCUCUGGGACGGUACUGACGCUGAGACGCGAAAGCGUGGGGAGCGAACAGG
rnacentral:rRNA from 1 species